ACCUGAAUAUCUGCAUGCGCGCCGAUGUUUACAAAAGGAAUGUCCAGUAUUUUUGGUGUCUUUCAGUGAUAUUUUACACAUUAGAACAACUGAAUAAAAUCUCCUUUCAAUUAACUAUCGAUAUAUCUGGUAUUUUACGUAAGACUGAGUCCCAAUAUUAUUGCAAUUCGGUAGCAAAGAUGUUGACACCACAUGUCGUCUGAUGAUGAGUUUUACAGGAUCGAAUAAGGUUUGGUCAUUGUAUUCCCUGAAAGGAACAAGAGGAGAAAAGAAACUGGAAGACCUGCAUGCCUAUCCGCAGGCCAAUGCUGGCUGCAGGUCAAUAUUGAAUGCUCUUAUGAAAACUCAUAAGACAAUAACAAAAAAAAAGAAACUGACGAUGCUGUUUUUAAAACAUGUUCCAUUCAAAAAUGGUGGAUUGAAAUUUAAGAAAGGUGUGACGGGUGCGGCUACUGCAGGCAGGGAGGAUUUGACGGUCAGCCAGAGGAUUUGGAGAUAUACUGUAAUGUCUUUAAUGUGGACUUGCGUGUGAUUUAAGUUUUCACAAGGGUUUUAGUGUGUGUGAAAGUAUGUCAGUUUUCAAAAUUGAGCUAUGACAAUUUGCUCAAACUACAUAACUCAAAGAACUUUGAAGCGGUCUUGUUGAUGUCAUGAGCUUUUGUUUAAUACCAGUAUUGGUGAUAUAGGCCCAUGAUUAUAUACUGUAGAAAGUGAACAAGUUCACUGCUCGAUACAGAUAAUCAUAUGGCCUGAUCUCUGAAUGAUAUUUAUGAACCAAAAGAAGGCAUAAAAUAAAAACAUACUGUAGUGAUUAAAAUUAUUGAUAUUGUUAAACUACAUCUGGGCCUGUAUUCAUAAAGGAUCUUAGUAAAAAAAAUUAUCUAUAACUUAAUAUUCUUCAAUUAACUCAGAAACUUUUCACGCUCUUUAAAUAUUUCACAGCAUGACUACAAACUUGUAUAUUAUACCAAAGAAAAAUAGAUUGGCAACUUGAAAGGCGUAUAGAGCAAAUCUCGCCAACAUCACAUGGCAACUGAAUGAGAUCUCGUUUUAGUAAGCAUAUUUGAUCACAGUUGAUCGUCAGCAAAUGCUUUGAAAUAAGAAAACUUGACCGUUUGUGUAUAAUGCUAAUGGUACUUUUUUAAUAAUGUUAUCAGUAUUUUCUACACAGGAAAGCAAUGAAUUUUUGAUUGGAAGUCUGAGAAAUCAGUUGUUUUAAAAUGGGCUUGAUUCGGUUUAUUACACGCCAGUGUAACAUUAAAUACUGACCACGUUGAAAAUUGACCCCAUAGAUCCUUUUCAACGUUGAGAAUUGACCCCGUCAACAUUUCAACAUCAAAUUUUGAUCAAAGGGUCAUUUUUCAACGUUGAGAAUUGACCCCGUCAACAUUUCAACAUUAAAUUUUGAUCAAAAGAUCCUUUUUCAGCGUUGAGAAAUGGCCCCACCAACAUUUCAACAUUAAAUUUUGAUCAAUGGGGUCAAUAUCUAAUGUUACACCGGCUGUACUGCCAGUUUAAUACUUUAGUAAGCAUCUGUUGAUUUGAUCACGACUGAUCAAAUCGGCAAACACUUUGAAAUAAUAUAACGUGAUCUAAUAUAACGUGCUAACACGAGCUGAUGCAAGACUCUCCAGUUGCCAUAUUACUGUCAAAUCGCCGAAUAGUGGAGCGCGCUGUCUUACAGACAGCUCAUUUUGUUGAGACCCCUUAGAGAAUUUCAAAUUUGUUGUCGCAAAUCUUCACUCUGAUGUGUUGCACACAAGUCGCAUCCAUAUAACCAUGGUCAAGGUCACACUUUGGUCAAAGGUCAAAAGAGAGUUGAUUCUAACACAUUCUUUGUUUAUUAUGUCUCCCCCAGGAGACAUAUUGUUUUUGCCCUGUCCGUCCGUCCGUCCUUCCGUCCGUCCGUCCAUACGUCACACUUCAUUUCCGAGCAAUAACUGGAGAACCAUUUGACCUAGAACCUUCAAACUUCAUAGGGUUGUAGGGCUGCUGGAGUAGACGACCUCUAUUGUUUUUGGGGUCACUCCAUCAAAGGUCAAGGUCACAGGGGCCUGAACAUUGAAAACCAUUUCCGAUCAGUAACUAGAGAACCACUUGACCAAGAAUGUUGAAACUUGAUAGGAUGAUUAUUCAUGAAGAGUAGAUGACCCCUAUUGAUUUUGGGGUCACUCCGUCAAAGGUCAAGGUCACAGGGGCCUGAACAUUGAAAACCAUUUCCGAUCAAUAACUAGAGAACCACUUGACCCAGAAUGUUGAAACUUCAUAGGAUGAUUGGUCAUGAAGAGUAGAUGACCCCUAUUGAUUUUGGGGUCACUCCGUCAAAGGUCAAGGUCACAGGGGCCUGAACAUGGAAAACCAUUUCCAAUCAAUAACUAGAGAACCACCUGACCCAGAAUGUUGAAACUUGAUAGGAUGAUUGGUCAUAAAGAGUAGAUGACCCUUAUUGAUUAUGGGAUCACUCCAUCAAAGGUCAAGGUCACAGGGGCCUGAACAUUGAAAACCAUUUCUGAUCAAUAACUAGAGAACCACUUGACCCAGAAUGUUGAAACUUCAUAGGAUGAUUGUACAUGCAAAGUAGAUGACCCCUAUCGAUUUUGGGGUCACUCCAUUAAAGGUCAAGGUCACAGGGGCCCGAACAUUGAAAACCAUUUCCGGUCAGUAACUUGAGAACCACUUGACCCAGAAUGUUGAAACUUUAUAGGAUGAUUGGUCAUAAAGAGUAGAUGACCCCUAACGAUUUUGGGGUCACUCUGUGAAAGGUCAAGGUCACAGGGGCCCGCACAUUGAAAACCAUUUCUGGUCAGUAACUUGAGAACCAUUUGACCCAGAAUGAUGAAACUUCGUAGGAUGAUUGGUCAUGCAGAGUAGAUGAACCCUAACGAUUUUAGGGUCACUCUGUGAAAGGUCAAGGCCACAGGGGCCUGAACAUGGAUAACCAGUUCCGAUCAAUAACUUGAGAACCUCUCGACCCAGAAUGUUGAAACUUCAUAGGAUGAUUGUUCAUGCAGAGUAAAUGACCCCUAUUGAUUUUGGGGUCAGUCUAUUAAAGGUCAAGGUCACAGUGGCCUGUUCAUGUAAAAUCAUUUUUUGGAAAUAACUUGAGAACCACUUGACCUACAAUAUUGAAACUUAACAGGAUGAUUGGACAUGCAGAGUACAUGACCCCUAUUUAUUUUGAGGUCACUUGAUCAAAGGUCAGGGUCACAGGAGCCUGAACUGUGACUUGAGAACCACUAGGCCACGAGUGUUGAAAUUUAGCGGGAUGACUGGACAUGCCAAGUAGAUGAUCCCUAUUGCAGCCAACAUUCAGUGUCUCUUUGACUUUCGCUCCUGACCCCUAUUGACUUCUUGCCUAUAGGACUUUGCAUUGGGGGAGACAUGCGCUUUUUUACAAAAGCAUUUUCUAGUUCUUUCACUAUUUUUUAUCAGAAAAUCAAAUUAUUGAUCGUCUGCAUUACUUAAAUUUUGUUUUUCUCAAAAACUGUCAAAGGUAACCAUUUGAAACUUGGAAAACUUGUUCACUUUUACACAUUUUAUUCAUUGCAAUGCAGGUAACCCUGUGAUUUGUUUUUACAGAGGUAAUACCUCUUACAGCCUGUCAGUCUCCAAUUUCUCAAUACAGUGUAACAAGGUAUUUUUCUUCUUUACAGUGGUGACCUCAUUCUGCUGACUAGGUGACUUUCAAUGAUUUUUUUGUUGAGCUAUUACACUUUUUCGACCUUAAAUUUUCAGUUUUUUUUUUUUUUUUUCAAUCCAAUUACCCAGUAUCUUAUCAUAGGUAUUGACAUGAUACUAGACAUAAUUUAUUGUGAUGACCCAAUUUGUUAGACAAGAGGAGGUAACUCUGUCAAGGAUCAUUUUCUAAGAAUUAUUGCCCUUUUUAUACGCCCGUUUGAAAAAUUGGAUGUAUUAUGGGAACGCCCCUGGCGGGCUGGCAGGUGACGUCCGGAGCAUAUCUUCUUCAUGCAUGGAGGGAUUUUGAUGAAACUUGGCACAGUUGCUCACCAUCAUGAGAUGGAGUGUCAUGCGCAAGAACCAGGUCACUAGGGCUGUUCAGAGUAUGUGCAUCCGUGCGUGUGUCCGGAUUUGAUUGUCCAGACUGUAACUUUGACAUGCAUGGAGUAAUCUCGUUUAUAUUUGGCAUGAAUGUUAACCUCAGUGAGACGGAGUCAUGUGCAAACCACAGGUUCCUAUCUCGAAGGUCAAGGUCACACUUAGAGGUCAAAGGUUAAAUUCAAUAAUGACUUUAUCCGGAGCAUUUCUUCUUCAUGCAUGGAUGAAUUUUGAUGAAGCUUGGCACAAUUGUUCACCAUCAUGAGACGGAGUGUCAUGCGCAAGAACCAGGUCCCUAGGUCUAAGGUCAAGGUCACAAUUAGAGGUCAAAGGAUACAAGAAUGAAAACUUUGUUCGGAGCAUUUCUUCUUCAUGCAUGGAGGGAUUUUGAUAUUACUUGGCACAAAUGUUAACCACCAGGAGACAGUGUCAUGCGCAAGAACCAGGUCCCUAGGUCUAAGGUCAAGGUCAUACUUAGAGGCUAAAGUUCAGAUACAAGAAUAACAUUGUCCGAAGCAUUUCUUCUUCAUGCAUAGAGGGAUUUUGAUGUAACUUGGCACAAUUGUACACCAUCAUGAGACGGAGUGUUAUGCGCAAGUCCCUUAUUUAGAAUUACCUUCCUUUGUUGUUACUAUAAAUAGUUUAGGCCUAAAAAAAAAAAUUCUUUGUUUCCGGUAACAUGCUCAAAAAAAUUAGGGUAGGUAGGUCAGAAAAUAUUUUUUCUUUUUUAUUAAGGGAGACUUUUCGGAAAUUAUUUUUGUGUCAAAAAAUGGAUACAAAUAAGGAGGUUAUGCCUUUAGAGCAUCAGUAAGUUGUUUUCUAACAUCACUGGCCAUGUUUUAAACAUAAAAAGUGCAUUUUUUCAUCUUUUUUGUUAAAAAGUUGAAAAAAAUAUUCUCAAAGGCCAUAAAAACAUUUAGGGUCGGGCCAAAAAUUUAGGGUAGGUAGGGAUACCGGAAACAAACAAUUUUUUUUUACGCCUUAUAUUGCAACUUUUUCAUUACUAGUCGUAGGGAAAAAUGGAGAUCACUUUUCUGUAGUGCAACAUGCAUGAUACAUCCAAUUCUGAGAUGUAUUUUGACCUGUCUCUACCUGGUAAGAUUUUUGUGUGGACUUGCAAUUUUUUUGGGGGGGGGGGGGAUUUUUUUUUUAAAGAUUAACUUCCCUUAUUUGUUACUAUAAAUAACUUACAUUGUAACUUUUUUAUAAUUGAUCAUAUGGAAAACCAAGACCACCUUUUUGUGGUACAGCAUAGAUGUUUUUUUUAAUCAGUAACUUGAGAACCACUUUACCUAGAAUGUUAAAACAUAAUAGGAUGAUUGCACAUGCAGAGUUUAUGACCCCUAUUUAUUUUGGGGGUCACUGGACCUGAACAUGAGAAACAGUUUCCAUUUCAUAACUUAAGAACCACUAAGUCCAGAACUUUGAAACUUAGUCGGAUAAUUGGACAUGCCAAGUAGAUGAUCCCUUUUGCAGCCAACCAUCAUUGUCUCUUUGACUUUUACUCCUGUCCCCUAUUGACUUCUUGCCUAUACGACUAUGCAUUUGGGGAGACAUGCAUUUUUCUUCAAAAUCAUCUUCUAGUUCACCUUUGCCGAUCUUGCAGCUCAUGAAGUCUGUAUUUACCUUGUUCCUGUGGGCAUGUCAUUGUAUUAGAUUUUGUUAUCGUUUAACUACAUAAGCUUUUGUAUUUAAUUAAAUUGAAUUAUCGUUAUCGUUAAACUACAUAAUCUUUUUAUAAUUUUGGACUUGAAUUAUCAUAUAUUGUUAAACUACAUAAGUUUUUUGUAUUUGAUGGAUUUAAAUAAUUGUUAC